GCUCUGGAGGACUAGUGGUUAGGCCACAGUGCUCUCACUGCUGUGGCCUGGGUUCGACUGCCAGCCAGUGAA
rnacentral:tRNA from 1 species